UACGGAGGGAGCUAGCGGUGUUCGGAAUUACUGGGCGUAAAGCGCGCGUAGGCGGCUUUGUAAGUUAGAGGUGAAAGCCCGGAGCUCAACUCCGGAACUGCCUUUAAAACUGCAUCGCUUGAAUCCAGGAGAGGUGAGUGGAAUUCCGAGUGUAGAGGUGAAAUUCGUAGAUAUUCGGAAGAACACCAGUGGCGAAGGCGGCUCACUGGACUGGUAUUGACGCUGAGGUGCGAAAGCGUGGGGAGCAAACAGG
rnacentral:rRNA from 1 species